CUUACACUUUCAUUUAUAGACUAGAUAAUGUUUAAUAUUUAAUUUAUAAUUAUAAUACUAAAUCUUAAUCUAACCUAUGGCAUUCAUCAUUUACUGCAAAGACUACUUGGGUAUCUAAUCCUGUUUGUGCUCUGUGCCUUCGUCCUUUAACGUCAGUUUUUACAUAGAAGGCUGCCUUCGCCUUUACCGAGUCCCUUUGGUAUCAUAGAAUUUCAUCUCUCCUCCUCAAGUACUGCCCUCUUACAUAAAACUCUAGUCAAGUACUAACAUUUUAGAAGCUAUAUUGACCGUCUAGGUACCCUUUAAACCUAAUUAAGAUGAAUAACACUAGUCUCUUACGUAUUACCGCGACUGCUGGCACGCAAUUAGUCAAGACACGAUAUAUAUACUGUCAUUAUCAAUAUAUA
rnacentral:rRNA from 1 species